rnacentral:sRNA from 1 species
GCCUCAAGCAGCUGGUGGCCUACGUGCAGCUCAACAUGCCAGGCUCAGACCUGGAGCGCCGUGCCCACCUUCUCCUGGCCCAGCUGGAGCACUCGGAACCCACUGAGGCAGAGCCUGAGGCUCUGUCACCAGUGCCAGCUCUAAAACCAACUCCAGAGCUCGAGCUAGCUCUAACACCAGCUCGAGCACCCAGCCCAGUGCCAGCUCCAGCCCCAGAGCCAGCUCCAACACCAGCUCCAGGUUCAGAGCUAGAAGUAGCUCCAGCACCAGCUCCAGAGCUCCAGCAGGCUCCAGAGCCAGCUGUGGGACUGGAACUGGCUCCAGCGCCAGCUCUGGAACUAGAGCCAGCUCCAGAACAGGAUCCAGCUCCCUCACAAACUCUAGAGCUGGAGCCAGCUCCAGCGCCAGUUCCAUCAUCAGAGCCUUCGUGGCCUUCACCUGUGGUUGCAGAGAACGGGCUGAGUGAAGAGAAGCCUCACCUCUUGGCGUUCCCUCCCGAUCUGGUGGCAGAGCAGUUUACACUGAUGGAUGCGGAACUGUUCAAGAAGGUGGUGCCCUACCACUGCCUGGGCUCCAUCUGGUCCCAGCGGGACAAGAAGGGCAAGGAGCACCUGGCGCCCACCAUCCGCGCCACCGUCACCCAGUUCAACAGUGUGGCCAACUGCGUCAUCACCACCUGCCUCGGGGACCGAAGCACGAAAGCCCCAGACAGGGCCAGGGUGGUGGAGCACUGGAUCGAGGUGGCCAGGGAGUGCCGGAUCCUCAAGAACUUCUCGUCACUGUAUGCCAUCCUCUCUGCCCUGCAGAGCAACUCUAUCCACCGUCUGAAGAAGACGUGGGAAGACGUUUCCAGGGACAGUUUCCGGAUCUUUCAGAAGCUGUCGGAGAUCUUCUCAGAUGAGAACAACUACUCAUUGAGCCGGGAGCUGCUCAUCAAGGAGGGGACCUCCAAGUUUGCCACCCUGGAGAUGAACCCCAAGAGAGCCCAGAAACGGCCAAAGGAGACGGGCAUCAUCCAGGGCACCGUUCCCUACCUGGGCACAUUCCUCACCGACCUGGUGAUGCUGGACACCGCCAUGAAGGACUAUCUGUAUGGCAGACUCAUCAACUUCGAGAAGAGGAGGAAGGAGUUCGAGGUGAUCGCCCAGAUCAAGCUGCUGCAGUCGGCCUGCAACAACUACAGCAUCGCGCCAGAUGAGCAAUUUGGGGCCUGGUUCCGGGCCGUGGAGCGGCUCAGCGAGACUGAGAGCUACAACCUGUCGUGUGAGCUGGAGCCCCCAUCCGAGUCAGCCAGCAACACCCUCAGGACCAAGAAGAACACAGCCAUUGUCAAGCGCUGGAGCGACCGCCAGACCCCCAGCACUGAGCUCAGUACCAGUGGCAGCUCCCACUCCAAGUCCUGUGACCAGCUCAGGUGUGGCCCCUACCUCAGCAGCGGGGACAUUGCUGACGCACUCAGCGUGCACUCGGCCGGCUCCUCUAGCUCCGAUGUGGAGGAGAUCAACAUCAGCUUCGUCCCGGAGUCUCCUGAUGGCCAGGAAAAGAAGUUCUGGGAAUCAGCCUCACAGUCAUCUCCGGAGACCUCCGGCAUCAGCUCGGCCUCCAGCAGCACCUCGUCCUCCUCAGCCUCCACCACACCCGUGGCUGCCACGCGCACCCACAAGCGCUCCGUCUCAGGGCUCUGCAACUCCAGCUCCGCGCUGCCGCUCUACAACCAGCAGGUGGGCGACUGCUGUAUCAUCCGCGUCAGCCUGGACGUGGACAACGGCAACAUGUACAAGAGCAUCCUGGUAAGCCGGGUGGGCGGCCUGGGUCCCUCCCUCCACUGGCGGCAAAUGCACCUUGAACACAGUGCACCAUCUCUGCCCUCCCGGGGCCCACCUUGUAGUUGAGGGGGGAAGGACAGAUGUCAGCCAGGUACAGAAAUGAAGAAGGUAGUGAUCAGGGACAAGGCUGGCCUGAGGGCAGAGGGGGAGGGAAGGAGUGGCCGUGCAGAGCUCCCAGGAGACGAAGGGGCGGUGCUGCGGGGGAGAUGAGGUCCGGGAAGUAUCCGGGGCCUGGCCACGUAGGCCCUGAGCACUGCCAGGACCUCGACUUUCUCGGGGAGGAAGACAGGAGCAAUGAUGGCUGGCUUCUCUGUCUGGCGUGGGCUGGUACCACAGCCACAGGGGUGUUGGUUAGGAGGCCGCUGUGGCAACCAGGCUGGGAGCCCUGGAAGGGGCCAGCAGGGUCAGAGUCUGGAUAGGAUUUGGAGACAGCCGAUGGGAAUUGCUCACAGAAUGGGUUUGCCUGGGGGCUCUUUCUUCAUCCUCCAGGUGUUCUGCGACAGAUGAACCAUUUGUAACCCCCACCCUCUGUACCCCAGCCCUGGGUCAGGUACCCCAUUAUUCACACACCCUCCCAACCCCUCGUUGCCAGGAGCUAGCAUGGUUGUCAUUAAGCAGUCACUUGUGGCCCUAUGUCCAAGUUCCGCCUGUGCUCUGGCCCUCAGGGUCAAGGUAGCAGGGGCCUGGCCUGUGCUCACCACACUGAGCAUCCUGGCUGGCCCCUCCUUUCUUAUCUCCAGGGCUUAGACUAGGGACUGUCUGUUCCCCAGGCUCAAUGAUGCUGUUAUCCUGGAGAGGCAAGUGCUGCCCAAGGAAGUGUGGGAGGAGGGAACAGGCUCUUAUAGGAGAGGCAGGGUAGGCACUGCUGGGACAGACCCCUCCUCAUUCCACGGAGGCCUCACGUGGGGAGCAGGAGAAGGACGGAGGCCUCACUUGGGGAGCAGGAGAAUGUGACAAGGCCCUCUCCGGACCCAGCACCUGGCCAGAGGCUGUGAGUGCCUGUGCUUAGUGCUGAGGGGACUCCAGAGGGUCCUUGGCCACUGCACUCUGGGGGAGCCGCUCCAGGGUCUUCUCCCUGAUGGUCCAUCCCCCGCCGCGAUGCAGGUGACCAGCCAAGAUAAGGCUCCAGCCGUAAUCCGCAAGGCCAUGGACAAACACAACCUGGAGGAGGAGGAGCCGGAGGACUAUGAGCUGCUGCAGAUUCUCUCAGAUGACCGGAGUAAGUCAGAAGACCAGAGGGCGAUGGCGGAGGGGGCAGGUCCGCACCACUCCCCUCCCCAGGUUGGAAGGCUUUGGCCCCAGAAAAUUCACCAGCAGAGUGUGGGUAGACACUGUGGACAGGGCAGCCCUGGCUGCCCCCAUUGUCUGCUUGCUGUCCGCAGCCACCACUGGACCUCCCCAGUGUGUGCCCUUCCCUAGGCGUGAACAGGCAGUUCAAAGCUCACAUCAGUGAGGAGCAAAGAGAAAAGGCAUUUUCACUGGGACAGGUUAGCCAGGUGGCCCACUGGAAGGGACGCUUUCUGGCUAAGAUAAAACAUGUGCUCUACAAAGAAUGGUGACUGCUGUGGACCAAAGUGUCGAGUGUUAAAAUCCAUGAGUGUAUGAUUCUAAAAGCAGAACAGGCUGCUAGGAGGCCAACUCAGUAUUCUAGAAACUGGGAAAGUGUCAAGAACCAGUGCAGGCUCAGAGUGGGGUGUGCUGGGCCUGGAGACGCUGUGCAAGGUCCUUAAGCCCUCUGUGCUCGUGUUCUCAUCCCCCAAAUGAAAAUGAAAGUAGCCAGUGUGUUCAUCGUAUAUAUAAAAAUCUGUAUGUAAGUGUAUAUGUGUGUAUAUAUAUAUAUGCAUGCAUACGUGUGUGUAUAUAUAUAUGCAUGCAUACGUGUGUGUAUAUAUAUGCAUGUAUAUAUAAAGCAUCUAUGUGCACCAUAAAAGUUAACCACAAAUACUAUCAUCGCUGCUUUCUUUCCAGUGAGCUGAACACCAUCCCCCACCAUUAGCCCAGACAGUAAGCAAUGACUCCUAUGAUCCCUAGAAGUUAUAGUCUAAAUCCUCUGGCAGCUUCUUGGCACCAUUUUGGUUAGGUGAGCAGGGUAGGUGGGAACCCCAUCUUACAGAGAAGGAAGACUGAGGCCUAGAGAGGUUAAAGAAGAUGAUGAAAAGCCACACGAUGUCGGCAGGAGCACAAAUCGAACCCAGCUCUGGUUUAUAGCAGGCUGUGGGCCAGAGGAGAUGGUGGGAAAUGGAGCCAAGAGGAAGUGCUUGCUGGGUGCCAGGGUUCAAGGAGUACAGGCCUCCCUGGAACGGACACCAGAGCCCUGGGGCAAGCCUGUCCUUUCCUGGUCCUUGGAGCCCUUGUCCUGAGUAGGGCAGGAUUCUGGGAGGUGACCUGGAUUCUAGAAAGCCUGUUCCAGCUGGGCAGCCAGCACUGCAGUAUGGGCAGGACGGGGUGACCCUCUGCCAGCUCAGGCCAAGCCGGGGGGGUUCUGGCAUCAGUCCCUGUUUAAACAAGAGUCAUCAGGUUUUGUGAGGACCUCAGCAGAGUCUGUCCUCAGGCAGGAGUCAUUGAGAGGGGUCCUUGGAGUCCUGGAGCUGUAUUGGAGGGGAUCUGAGGUCUGUGGCUCAAGACAGUCCUUGUAUGGGCUCUCAAGCGGUAGGGGUAUCCUGCAGGGCCCCCAGGAGCAUCACUGAUCACCCCUCUGCCCCUCCCCCACCAGAGCUGAAGAUCCCUGAAAACGCCAACGUCUUCUAUGCCAUGAACUCUACCGCCAAUUAUGACUUUGUCCUGAAGAAGCGGACCUUCACCAAGGGAGUGAAGGUCAAGCAUGGAGCCAGCUCAACCCUCCCUCGCAUGAAGCAGAAGGGACUCAAGAUUGCCAAGGGCAUCUUCUGAGGGCAUCUUCCCAGGGUCUGGCUGGCUGGUAGCCAAGCACUUAUGGACCAGAGUGGCCCAGGCCAGCUGGGCACCUUCCUACCACCUGCCAGCCCAGGGUACCCCAGACUCCAGUUUCAUCCUGAACCUCUCCUGCUGCUGGGAUUGACGCCUGCCAUUGGUCAGGCUGACCUGGCCUCCCGUGGACCACUCGCUGCCUUAGGUGCCUUCUGCUCUCUGGAACCAGAGGACUAGCUGACUUUUGCCAAGGAGCAGUGCCAACGGGCAUGGCAUGGUGCCCUGCCUGCCCCCAGGCACCACCUCUGUACACUUCCCUGACACCUUCCCAGGUGUGGGUCACUGCCACCUGUGCCCAUGGGCACCCCACAACACCCACCCACUCACCCACCGUGUCUGACCGCUGCAGUUCUCUCCUCAUGCCCACGGGCACUGGCCUGUGACCUUUGCAGGGGUCCCGGCCCCUCCCACCACUCUAGCCUUUCUCAGGCUGUACCAAAGAUUCCAUCAUCAGGGCCGACUGAGAGUGAGGGAGUCUCACCCACCACUUACCCCAGCCCUCCCCUGGGAGCAGAGAGAGAAACCCUCUUCAUGGACCAGACUCUGCACCCGGUGAGUGAGGACGGUCCCAGCUGAGUCCCAUAGAUGUUGAAUCUCAUGCCACUGCAAGUGCCAUUCACCACUGCAUCCUGGGCUUUACGAGACCAUGCAAGACGGGGGUUAGUGAGGAAGGAGGAUUUGGGGUGGGGGUGGGGUGACUGAAUAUUUGUAUAAAAAGCAAAAAGAAAAAAAAUGUUUACUGAUUGGGGAGGGGCAAUAUUUAUUUGUUGUAAAUAGCAAAUGUUAGACUUGAAUAUUAUAUUAAAAUCCUGUUUCUACUAUA